UGGAAGGCAAAAUUUAACCAGCGCUGGGAAAGUGGGAUAAUUCCAAGGGUAGAGGUCAAGAACUGCAGUCACAGUGCAUGGGCCGGCACUGCCUCCAUAGCCCUGUCAGAGGGAGGUGAGCUCAGUGGACCCCGGCCCCGCGGGAGCCCCCUCACGAAGGAGACUGCGACUCAGACGAUAAAACAAGGCAUUCGAGUGGCUCACCAGUGGGAUUUUUUGUAAUGAAUGCUGAUUCUGCUAAGUUACAAGGCGCAGCUUUAAGCACAGAGGGCAAUUCAUUCACAUGAGCCUCUUGGGUUGAUUCAGAAGAGGGUGUCAUAUGCCCCCUGCGUGUCUCCGAGCAUGUUCUCCUGGCCUGACUCCUUAUCAGCACCAGACUUCUAUUAUUUGCAGUCAGUAACAAAGAUUCAUCCUUGUAUCCAUCAAGCAACAAGGAGAAUCUUUGUCACUUAGUGUAAUUAAUAGCCGUACCUCGCACGGGAAGACAAGAGGAGGACGCCCUUCGCACAGACUCUGGGUGGAUUCAAGAACAGGCUUCAUGGAUCUUUGCUGCCUUUUGACCAACUGAAAUGCUAGAACUCCAACAGAGGUGGGAAGAUGGAAGUUUCAUCAUUGUCAUCAAUCUGUGAGUCACAACAGGAAAAAGACUUGUUGGACAGAGGCCCACUGCACCUGCCUUUGAAGGAACUACACCCUCUUCUCUUUCAUGGAUUAUUUAAAUCAAGACAUAAAAGUUGCUGUUCUGGAAAUGAAUGGAUGCUGUCAGCUAUCAUAUGACAGCAUCAAGUAUCAUAAAUAGAUCAAGUUGGUUUGCCUCUGUUAUCAAGAGCAAUAAAGUAAGAUUAACCUUUUGGUGCUUAAAAGUGUUCUGUAUUUUUAAAAAUAAGCCUUCUGGAGACUAAAAAGGCAUAUAACUAAUACAAUCUUAAACUGGAUCCUGUAUUGAAGGAAAAAAUGUUAUAAGGGCUAUUAUGGACAGCAGAUUAGAUAAAAUUAUUAUACUGAUGUUAAAUUUACUAAAGCUGAUAAGUGUAUUGUGGUUAUAUAAGAGAAUAAUUAUCCUUGUUCUUAGGAAAUAAACACUAAGUAUUCAGGGAUGACAGGCCAUGAUGUAUGCAACUUACUUAAAAGUGUUCAGAAAAAAAUAUUACGUGCGUAUA